AUGUCAAAUGUCCAUGCCGAUACAAACACAGUUUUAUUGGCAAGAGGGGUUCUCUGAAAUUAGGAUUUUGUCUUCUUCGUCGAUUUGUCAGCUAGCCAACAAUGGUGAUACAACAUAUCCAGUUAGACGAAUCGUCUUCACUCCUCGAUAUCUCAGUCUUCUCAAAAUUGAUUUGCCACUGCCGUAGUACUCCAACUGAAUCCAAGCACCGAACGGAACAAUAAGAAUUUCUAAGAUAGUUCACCAACAAAUUCACGUAAAGGUUUUACUCCAACAGAAACUGAUGUACGAGUAUGUCUACAAACACGAAAGCUAUUGCGAUCAACAAGAGCUUGCAAAUAUUUCCAGGAGCUUCGAUUCAAUCUUUUAAAAUACGCUGUCGAGGAAGGUCUAUUGCAUUUCCAGAAGGUUGCGUUUCCACAAGCAAUCUUAAUGACCAUCAACAUCGUCCAUGACUAGCAGAGGAGUAUAGUUCCAAUUCUAACGCAAAAAAAUUCCACCUCAAGAAGAAUAGUGUACACGCAGAUUCAGGAUGCCGUUACUGUAGCCAGUGUAGCUUCAUCUGUUGCUGCUAUCGCAGCCUCCACCACCACGUCUUCGAUCUCUGGAAGGGAUGAGCAGAUGGCUAAAACUGACAUGGCCGUUGCUUCCGCUGCGACCCUUGCGGAUACUCAGUGUAUGGCUGCUGAAGUGAUUAGAGCUGAGAGAGUAUUUGGCCUCUGUUGUCAGUGCCACCAUCAAUGUUCGUUCUACCGUAGAUGUUUGACACUCACUGCUGGUGUAGCCACAAGUUUAGUAGCUUCAAAAAUCUGUAUUUUUGUCAUCCUAGGUUUUUUGAAAGAUUGAUUUUGAUGAAAAAACUCAAUUCUUUUUAUUUUAUUUGAGAAAUGCUUAGUAUUGGGAAUUUAAUCACAUUGCUAAAGUUCUUAUUUUGAUGAAGAAUAUGUAAGAACAGUUUAUUAGCUCAGAAUUGGAGCUUAAUGAAGAGACUUGAG